UUCUCCUCCCUUCUCUCUCUCUCUCCCUCUCUCUCCUAUUGUCACGUUUCUGUUGAUCAGUGGAAAAUACUUCUAACUGAAGUCAGUUCUUCUCUCCAUCUGUCAGACCAGAGCAACCAUGUCAGACAAUGAAGAGGUUGAAGAGUUUGAUGAGCAGAAUG